rnacentral:pre_miRNA from 1 species
CUUAUACUCCCUCCGUCCGGAUUUACUUGUCAUCAAAAUGGAUGUAUCUAGAUACAUUCAUUUUCAUCUAUUUUGAUGACAAGUAUUUUCGGACGGAGGGAGUACUUC